GAUGAACGCUGGCGGCGUGCUUAACACAUGCAAGUCGAACGGAAGGGCCAGUGCUUGCCCUGGUACUCGAGUAGCGAACGGGUGAGUAACACGUGGGUGAUCUGCCCUGCACUUCGGGAUAAGCCUGGGAAACUGGGUCUAAUACCGGAUAGGACAAUGGUUUGGAUGCCGUUGUGGAAAGUUUUUUCGGUGUGGGAUGAGCUCGCGGCCUAUCAGCUUGUUGGUGGGGUAAUGGCCUACCAAGGCGUCGACGGGUAGCCGGCCUGAGAGGGUGUACGGCCACAUUGGGACUGAGAUACGGCCCAGACUCCUACGGGAGGCAGCAGUGGGGAAUAUUGCACAAUGGGCGCAAGCCUGAUGCAGCGACGCCGCGUGGGGGAUGACGGCCUUCGGGUUGUAAACUCCUUUCGCUAGGGACGAAGCGUAUUUGUGACGGUACCUGGAGAAGAAGCACCGGCUAACUACGUG
rnacentral:rRNA from 1 species